CCCAUUGUUCCUAACACUGUGAUGUCCAAGAGCUUGGCGAUGGCAGAGCCUUUGAUGAGGGUCUUCCUGCUGAAGGUGGAGGAGGCCAUCUCAAGGAGAGACAGAGGAAGGGUCUUGGAGAUCCUUGGCUAGGAGACCACUGGAUGCUCAGGAAACUCCAGGACCAGUAACACCCUGUAAAUGACGGCCUGAUGGGACAAGAUCCUCGGGAAAAUUAAUUCCACAAGGGCCAGAAUUCUGAUGACUGAAGAGUAGAUUCAGGCCCUCGGUGGUUUCUCUUGAAAAGUGAAUGGAAUAGGUACACAAAGCUGAGGCAAGGAUACCUGAGGUUUGCCUCCAAGAGCCCACGACAAUCAGAUGCCAUGAGAAAUAUCUCUGGAAAAGAAGGUUGAGUGGAGAGCAGAAAUGGGAAGACCCGAUCACGUGGAAACUGAGUUCUGGAAGGGAGAAGAUGCCAAAGGGGAGAACAUUGGAUGCUCAGGAAACUCCAGGACCGGUAACACCCUGUAAAUGAUGACCUGAAGUUUCAGGAUCCUGAGGAAAAUUAAGAUCCACAAGGACCAGAGUCCUGAUGACUGAAGAGUAGAUUCAGGCCCUGUGUGGUUUCUCUUGAAAAGUGAAAGGAAUCAGGCAGGUACACCUGAGCUUUGGCAUCCAAGAGCAGGAGACAAUGGAUCCCAAGAGGAAAGGCCAGAGAAAGAAGACUGAGUGCAGAGCAGAAAGGGGACGACUUGGUCAUGUGGAAAAUGGGUGCAUAGAGACAGAGAGGAGGCCUGUGGGCAAGGAUACCUGAGGUUUGCCUCCAAGAGCCCACGACAAUCAGAUGCCAUGAGGAAUCGCUGCAGAAAGAAGGUUGAGUGGAGAGCAGAAAUGGGAAGACCCGAUCACGUGGAAACUGAGUUCUGGAAGGGAGAAGAUGCCAAAGGGGUACUGUGGCCAUAGCAAAAUGAUACCUGAAGCUGAGUAAUCUGUAACGACUACACAUUUCUUGGCCCCAUUGUUCCUAACACUGUGAUGUCCAAGAGCUUGGCGAUGGCAGAGCCUUUGAUGAGGGUCUUCCUGCUGAAGGUGGAGGAGGCCAUCUCAAGGAGAGACAGAGGAAGGGUCUUGGAGAUCCUUGACUAGGAGACCACUGGAUGCUCAGGAAACUCCAGGACCAGUAACACCCUGUAAAUGACCACGUGAUGGGAGAAGAUCCUUGGGAAAAUUAAUUCCACAAGGACCAGAGUCCUGAUGACUGAAGAGUAGAUUCAGGCCCUCGGUGGUUUCUCUUGAAAAGUGAACGGAAUAGGUACACAAAGCUGAGGCAAGGAUACCUGAGGUUUGCCUCCAAGAGCCCACGACAAUCAGAUGCCAUGAGGAAUCGCUGCAGAAAGAAGGUUGAGUGGAGAGCAGAAAUGGGAAGACCCGAUCACGUGGAAACUGAGUUCUGGAAGGGAGAAGAUGCCAACGGGGAUAUAGUCUGUCAUUUGAAGAACUCAUCGUGAGGGAAACCAUUGAUGUCCACCUGCACUGGAGGCCUGAUAUCCAGCAAUAGAUGUGGAUCCCCAGAACGGAGAAUUCGCUCAUAGUCGGUGACAGGAACCCUUUCCUCUGGGUUCAGUAACUGCAAGGAAGGGCGCUCCUCAGGAGCUGAUGAGCCACAGAAAAUCUCACAGUGCU